GAAAAUAGCGGAGUGGUUAACGCGUUGGCCUGCUAUCUAUCUCUCUGAGCUAGAAGUCAGCCAAUUCCUUCGGGAGCGUGUGUUCGAAUCACACAGGUGUCG